AUUUGAUGCUGAGGGCAUCUAGUGCACAGUUUAUUGAACCUUUUCCAGUAAUCAUAUAAAGGCUCCCUGGGAUACUGUUUGAUACUGCAUAUCUCUUUUCUUAGACU